GGUACAUAAUGGGUAGUUGAAAUGAAUGAACAAGAACAAAACAGGUUUAAGGGGGGAAAAAUAGAUCUCAAGCACCAAAAAAAAGCGUCUACAAAAGCAGCGUCUCGUCACGCGCCUCGCUUCCAUUUCCUUAUUCUGCAGCUCGAGGCAGUGGAAGUGGAAACUGAGCUCGAGCCCCGUUACAGAUCCAUCAGUGUUUACUUUUCUCUGUCGAUCAACUCUGAUGAAACGAUAUAAGAAGUCUGGAGCAUCUUCUCACAGUUGGGGAAAGUGGGUGGAGGAGUGAACGUGACAUGAGUGUGAUGCGAAUAUGCUUUUAGAACGUGUAUCAUGCGUAAAGGAGCUACAGGUGCUGUAAAUUUACACGACUAUAAAAUCGUAAUAACGUCCUAUCGGUUAAUAAAGUCGUGCUUAUCACCGCAGGCGAGAGGCUAAUAGCUCGAGAUAAACUGCAUGAACGAACCGACACGUUUCAUUUGCAACAGAUGAAGCGUUCUGUUAGAUUAAAACACACGUUUCGGUCUUUUCGUUUCAAGUUAAAUGUCGUGCACAACCAUGAAUUUACUUAUCGAUCCCAAACCAACUGGACAAACUGAGCAGUGCAACUCCAGUCCAAUGAAGUUAUUGAACGUAAAACGAAGCAAAAGCAGAAAACAGCCACAACAUGUGCAACAACAGGGAGGAAAAACAACCGAAUGCUGAAUGAGGGGGAAAAGGAAUUACUUCCAGGGCACUGUGAGCCCAUUUCCUCAGCUCUCCAACCCCCAACCCCCCUCCACACCAGCGACCCUGCUGAUGGAUGUGUGAGUGAACAGAGAGAGGGGUGUGUGUGUGUGUGUGUGUGUGUGUGUGUGUGUGUGUGUGUGUGUGUGUGUGUGUGUGUGUGUGUGUGUGCGUGCGUGCGUGCGUGCGUCUGUGUGUGCACUAGCAUACUACAGCACGUCAAUAGUGUGUCACUACAGUACGCUAGGCUUGAUAAAUGUAAAUUGCAUGAUAUAAGUUCACCAAUUAAAGUAAACCUGGGGUGUAGUUAGAAAGAGGCAAGUGUACUGAUUAACCUACAGUUUUCUAGGUAACGGAGCACGUGAACGUGUGAUAGUGUGAGGCGUGUGGGGGGGGGGGGGGGGUUUAGGGGUCUUCCAUAAGCUCCAUGUUAACGAUGAAAACACGUUUGAAACAGGCUGACUAACUCCAGGAUGCCAUGUCGCCCAGACCAUACUGCAGCGUCUGGGAGAAGUACUGAACAUUCAAAAACGGUUAUUUAUUUGUUUUUAAGGAAUUUUUUGAGACUGACGGUGAGAAAACAAUCCAGAGCUUUUCCUCAUUCGGACGGACGCUGAGCUUUUAGACGGAAGUGUCGCGCGCUUUAUUUGACGGAGGGAAUAAAUAGAGAAAAACUUUGCGUGUUUGUUUAUGUGCUGCGUCUCCAAACCAGCGCCUGUCAAGAUCAUGGACUAAACUUUAAUAUUCGCUUUCAUUUUGGGUCUAAGGUGAAAGUACACGAAUGACUGAUGCUGUGGUUUAAAUUAAUUUCUAAAUUCAAAAUAAUAGCUAGAAAAAACAUUACAAGACAUAUUUUUGUCGUUUUUAAUUUGUGCAUUCUGCUCAUUGGUCUCAUACUAAUUUGGUGAUGAAUUAAAAUGAUCUAAAAAUGACAAUUAAAAUAACUGAAAAUGCUUCAAUUUAAAAUAUUAACUCUAAAGGUAAAAAUUUGCUUUAUGAGCAACAGGAAUAAAAAAAAAAAUUAUAGUCUCAUAAGAAUGUUUCCCAAAAUUAAAAUUCUCUUAAACAUAAUCUCUUUAUUCAUGUUUUUUUUGUACCAGUUGUCUACUUUCUUUUAGAAAUUGUUAGAAAUUAUGAUAUUACACAAAAGAUAUACAGAUAUACAGAUGUGUGUUGUUUGUGCAGUUUUGUACUGAUUACAGACCUAUUGUGAAUCAAGCUUAUUUGUUUUAAAGUUGUAUUUAAAUUGUAAAGAUUAAUUAUAUAAGCAUCAAAAUAGAACUUUAAAUAUAGCUCUUAAAUCUGAUGUAAUAUUGUGUUUUAUUUAACUUGCUUUGUUUGUGCACUUUUAAUCAUUUGGUAGAUCCUUUGGCAGAUGGUUUGCACAAGUUCUAAUGAAUACAUGAUGUUAUGUUUCUGAUAAGGUGCAAAGCAUGUUCCCAUUAAAUGCAUCAUGCUGUGCA